GCUCGAUUUAGAGCCUCGGAGCAUAGAAACGAUGAAGCAAUUCGUUCUCCUCUUAGAGUCAUAACAGCGGUGUAAAAGUGUCGUAACAACGACCUAAUAGCAAUCACGUUGAAAAGGGAAGGGAAAAGGAAGGAAGAUUUCUAUUGAUUUUUAUUCAAGUCCGCUACUUUUAUUUAGCAAUAGAAAAUAUUCUGAAAUUCUUGAAUAUUUGAACAUUUUAUAAAAAUCUUGAAAAUUUUUCGUGAAAAAAAAAAAUAAUAAUAAGCUGGAAAAGAAUAAUAUUGUAUAUAAUAUAUAACAUAAUUUAAAAUUUAAAAGAAAAUAUAAAAUUUUCUUAAGCCAUAUAUCUUGAAUUAUUCCUGUUCUUUAUAACAAAACUCUUCUCCGUGAGAAAUAAGUUUGUAAUAGGAUUUAAAAAAAUAUUCUAAUCUGUAUUGAAGUAAUUUAAGUUGAAGAAAAUUUAUAAUUGUAUAGAAUACAAAGAAUUUUCUAUAAGACCUAUAAUUUAACACGAAGUAUAAACAUGGAUGAAAAAAGUAUAGUUAGAAGAAAACUAACGGUUUUUCAAGGAAAUAAGAUUUGAUAAUCCAAUAAUAUUCCUUAUGAAAAUAUUCGUAAAAAAUUAAAAGUAUAAUUUUAAAAAUGAUUAUUGUUAAUAAUUUUAAUAAAAUUCAUAAUAAAAUUCCUGAUUCCUAUUAAAAGUGUUAAUAAUUUAUGGAGCAAGCGAGCAUUUAUGGACUGAAAAAUAAAAAAUAAAGUAUUCUAUCUACAAUUUACUCAGCAUUAACGAUCAUUUAUUAUUGAAGAUAGACAACGAGAUUCCAUUGAUGUUAGUCUUACUAAGGAUCGUAGCAUAGAAAUGGAAAUUCUUAUCGCUGCCCGUGACUGUGGAUUAAAUUAUGUAAAUUUCCGGGUGUGUCAGUGAUGGUCGUUCAAAAAAAAAAAAAAGCAAAAAUUCAUCGAUCAGGUAUUCCUUUAAAAUUCGAAUGCCAUUGCAAUUGAUAUACGAAUAAGGAAUAAGAAAAGAUAAGAAAAGCAUGUUAUGAUACUUGGACAUUUACGAUUCUGCGACAAGUAUACAAGUAUAAUUGCUUAUGGAUGUGGACACGCCCUGAAAGAAAAAUUCAUCUCAGGAAUGCGCUGAAGUAAUCACGUCCUUGACCGUACUUGACGGAAAUGGCAUUCAACCUUCUGAUACCUUCUUCUUCGUUGUCUAAGAUGGGAUUCUACCGUAAGGCAGUUGUAUUCUAGGUGAACGCCAUGUUUGGAACAUUUAUCUGACAAUUAUCUAAUGAAAAUAUCGGAAAUAAUUUUGAAAAAAAAAUGUAUUAAAAGUUUAAUUUGAAAAAAGAAUACUAGAUGCUUAGAUAGAAAUCAAUUAAAUUUUUUAUUAUAAAUAAUAACGCAUCUUAAUACAUAAUUGAAAAAAUAAUUUUUUUAAUAUAAUUGUUACAAUAAUUACUAUGAUCAUUUGUCAUUUGAUGUAACAAUUGAUGUAAUAUAUUUUUAAAUAAACCAAAUAUUUAUGAAAAAUAAUGAAAUGAUUAUCUAUUUAAUUUAGAAUUUACAAAACAUUUAAUCUUCAAACCAAUUUUCAAAAAUACUAGAUACAUUAAUGAACAAUAUAGUAUCAUAAUAAAUCAUAUAUAUACAUAUUAGAAUAAAUUAUCCAUUUCUCUUUUAUACUCCCACAUUAUAAAGUUUUUGUACAUUUUUUACAUUUUUCAAGCUGUAUCAAAUGCAUAACGUAUAUAUGUACAAUUUGUAUUAUAAUGCAACAAAAUUAUGUAAAAAUAUUAUUUAUCUGAUUUGGAAAUGAGCAUGCGCAACUGAUUUGCAGUGCGAAGUCCAAAUGACAUGAGAGAGGGACGGAGUCUGACAUUCUCGUGUUUUCUUCUCGAGUACAUACUUGUGCGCGCGCACAAGGUAAUCGCAUCUCUCUGGUUGCAUACCGUGGGGCGAAUUCUCGAUGGCGUAUAGUCAGCACCAUAAAACUCGAUUCCAUAAAAAUGACGCGAUAAAAUUAAUUGUUUGAAAUUAAUUUACGAUUGCCACAUAAGAACAGUGUCACGUGAUUGACCAAGAAAAAGUGGAAAUUGGAAAAUUCAAGCUAUAAAACCAUUGUUUUCUAUUAUAAUAUUUCUCUUCUUUUCGCAUCAAAGUAGUAACGUAAUACACGUUAUCUUUUAGGUUAGAAUUAAAGUUUGAGCACACGAAAAAGAAGAAGAAUUUAUGUUGUCGUUAAUAUAAUAUUUGUUAGUGUAAAGUUACAAGCAGCAUCAUAAAAUUCAUGUCUUCCUGAUUUAUCAUAGCAUGAAUAACAAAUACUUUACUCGCAUUCCCUUCAUUCGCUAGUGCGUGGAAUAUCGUAGUAAAGGUUAUUCACUUUUCUUAAGGAAUUAAAAUUAUUUCAGAUUUUGUAAGAUUUGAAUGAUUAAGAAUAAAUAAUGAAAGAAAUAUAAAUAGAUAUAUAUAGAGAUAAAUAUUGUAUAUACAUAUAAAGUUAUUGGAAGAAGAAAAUGAAUGGAUUUUUAUAAAUGAAGAAUAAAAUAAUAGAAUAAUAGAAUAUAAUAUGAAAUAUUAUAAUAAAAUAAAUAUAAUUUAAAAUUUCUUUAAAGAAUUAUUUUUUAGUCAUUUUAUAUAUAAUGAUAAAAAAAAUUAAUCGUUAUAUAUAUAUAAAAUAUGAAUAAUAUAAAAAGCUCAAAAUAUUUUAACAAAGAUUCAAAAGAUAUUUAAUCUUAACAAUAGAUUAAUGAAAAAAAAAUUGAUAAAAUUUCUAUCAAUGGACCGAAUUUAUCCAUCGAGAAUCGAAAUAAAUAGGAAGUAAUUGAAGCUUUUGAAAAAAUACCAAUUUGUGAAGGCACGAUAGAUAAAUGUUUGUUGAAAGUAAACAUAUCGCGGACGUACUGCGGUACGAGUAUUGAAAAAGUGGAAAGAAAGUUGCCAAUGUGCCUCGCAUACCUACUGAUCCGCCGGUCGCGAACAAGUUUUACAGUGAAUGGACCGAGCGAAUGAACUUUUCACUUACUUGCAUCUAUAGCUAAAAGAUUAAUUUCGAUUAAUCGAAAUCUAAUUCUAAUUUAGCUAUUUAAUGAUAUUCGACUAUCAAAAUUUUCUACACUAUUAGAAAGAAAUACUAUAAACUACAUUCUCAAUGAUGAUUAAAAAUAAAAUAUUCUUAUAUGAGUACGAGAACAGAAUUUUUAGAUAACUUUCAAACAUUUUAUAUUAUCCUUCUAAAUCGAAGAUAAUUAAAUUGCAACUACAUGAUGCUUAUCAAUAGUAUAAUGUAUCAUAAUGAUAAAAAAAAUUAUAUUCAUGCUUUCCACGUUAUUUCAUUGAAUUUAGCGUGUAACAUCACAUAAAAAUUCGUUAUAUAUAUAUAAAUAUAUAUAUAUAAUAUAUUUUUUGUUUUUUAUAAAAAAAGAUUAUUUAUAAAUGAUCAUAGAUGAUUAAAAAAUUCAUUAUAAAAAAUAAAAAAUUAUAAAUCUAUUUUAUUUAUAUUAUGAAUGAAAAAUAAUGUUCAUAAACAAUAUUGUGUAAUUUUAAGAGAUUGAUAUGUGAUUAGUAUUUCUUAGAGAAUAUUUAGUGUGUUCUGUUGCUUAUGAGUUGUAAAAGAGUAUGUGAAUGCAACUUUUUCUCAGAGUAUCGAAGGUCAUUCAAUGCAAUAUCGAUGCACGCAGAGUACGGUAAAUAUUUGCAAUUUAUGUCAUGACGCUCAUAAUGGACUACGUAGGUAUUUCGUAGGUGUAAUUCACAGGUGAUUGCCAUGUAGUUAGUAUUAAUCGACAUUUUCAAUGUUUCGUGUGUAUCAUUAAGAGGUGUGUAUCAUUAAAAUUAUCUUAAUAUUUCAAAUUUAAUAUUUUUUAAAUAUUUCCACAUACAAUUCAAUUAUUUGUAAUUACAUGACUUUUUUUUUUAAUUCUAUAAUAUAAAAUAUAAUUAAAAUCAUAUACUCUAAUCUAUUAAAGCGAAUUUAUAUUUAUAAAGAAGGACGUAAAUUACAUAUUCAUAUUAUUCACGAAUGAAAACCGUAGAAGCUUGCGAAAUGACUCUUGCAAUUGCAUUGGCUACAUGAUUGAUAAAAAAUUUUGUACGAGACAAGAUAUUUAAUAUAAAUAUAAAUUAAAAACAAUUGUUUUUAAAACU